rnacentral:rRNA from 1 species
AGAGAGAGACAUGCGCGCAUAUCAAUAAGCGGAGGAAAAGAAACUAACAAGGAUUCCCCUAGUAACGGCGAGUGAAGCGGGAAGAGCUCAAAUUUGAAAUCUUAAAGGGUUUCCCUUUACGAAUUGUAGUUUAAAGAAGUGUUUUCUGUUGAGGUUUUGGUAAAAGUUCUUUGGAAUAGGACAUCAUAGAGGGUGAGAAUCCCGUAUUUGACCAUUACUUCCAGCGUUGUGAUACACUUUCAAAGAGUCGGAUUGUUUGGGAAUGCAGUCCAAAAUGGGUGGUAAAUUUCAUCUAAAGCUAAAUAUUGGCGAGAGACCGAUAGCGAACAAGUACCGUGAGGGAAAGAUGAAAAGAACUUUGAAAAGAGAGUUAAACAGUACGUGAAAUUGUCAAAAGGGAAGCGUUUGACACCAGUGUUGUUUUUCUGAAAAUCAAUUAAAGAACUGUUCAUGCUAAGUUGUUUAGACUUUAUCAGCUAACUGUUUAGUUUUGAGCUUUUCUUUAAUGCACUUUUCAGUUAACAAGUCAACAUUAAUUUCUUUUGCUGUAAAAAAGCUUGAGGAAGGUGGCUUGAGAUUCGUCUUAAGUGUUUAUAGCCUCUUGCCUAUGCAGUCGGAGAGAUUGAGGUCUGCAGCGUAGAUCCUUCGGGGCUAAAUGCAUUUGUGCUAAGUUAUAGCAUUUUAUAGACAACUUGUUGACUAUGAUUUGUCUUGUAGCUUACUCGCUUAUGUUAUUUUACCUACGCUUAGGAUGUUGAGCGCAUGUCUCUCUCU